AGAGUUUGAUCAUGGCUCAGAUUGAACGCUGGCGGCAGGCCUAACACAUGCAAGUCGAACGGUAACAGGAAGCAGCUUGCUGCUUCGCUGACGAGUGGCGGACGGGUGAGUAAUGUCUGGGAAACUGCCUGAUGGAGGGGGAUAACUACUGGAAACGGUGGCUAAUACCGCAUAACGUCGCAAGACCAAAGAGGGGGACCUUCGGGCCUCUUGCCAUCAGAUGUGCCCAGAUGGGAUUAGCUUGUUGGUGAGGUAACGGCUCACCAAGGCGACGAUCCCUAGCUGGUCUGAGAGGAUGACCAGCCACACUGGAACUGAGACACGGUCCAGACUCCUACGGGAGGCAGCAGUGGGGAAUAUUGCACAAUGGGCGCAAGCCUGAUGCAGCCAUGCCGCGUGUAUGAAGAAGGCCUUCGGGUUGUAAAGUACUUUCAGCGGGGAGGAAGGUGUUGUGGUUAAUAACCGCAGCAAUUGACGUUACCCGCAGAAGAAGCACCGGCUAACUCCGUGCCAGCAGCCGCGGUAAUACGGAGGGUGCAAGCGUUAAUCGGAAUUACUGGGCGUAAAGCGCACGCAGGCGGUCUGUCAAGUCGGAUGUGAAAUCCCCGGGCUCAACCUGGGAACUGCAUUCGAAACUGGCAGGCUUGAGUCUUGUAGAGGGGGGUAGAAUUCCAGGUGUAGCGGUGAAAUGCGUAGAGAUCUGGAGGAAUACCGGUGGCGAAGGCGGCCCCCUGGACAAAGACUGACGCUCAGGUGCGAAAGCGUGGGGAGCAAACAGGAUUAGAUACCCUGGUAGUCCACGCCGUAAACGAUGUCUACUUGGAGGUUGUGCCCUUGAGGCGUGGCUUCCGGAGCUAACGCGUUAAGUAGACCGCCUGGGGAGUACGGCCGCAAGGUUAAAACUCAAAUGAAUUGACGGGGGCCCGCACAAGCGGUGGAGCAUGUGGUUUAAUUCGAUGCAACGCGAAGAACCUUACCUGGUCUUGACAUCCACGGAAGUUUUCAGAGAUGAGAAUGUGCCUUCGGGAACCGUGAGACAGGUGCUGCAUGGCUGUCGUCAGCUCGUGUUGUGAAAUGUUGGGUUAAGUCCCGCAACGAGCGCAACCCUUAUCCUUUGUUGCCAGCGGUCCGGCCGGGAACUCAAAGGAGACUGCCAGUGAUAAACUGGAGGAAGGUGGGGGAUGACGUCAAGUCAUCAUGGCCCUUACGACCAGGGCUACACACGUGCUACAAUGGCGCAUACAAAGAGAAGCGACCUCGCGAGAGCAAGCGGACCUCAUAAAGUGCGUCGUAGUCCGGAUUGGAGUCUGCAACUCGACUCCAUGAAGUCGGAAUCGCUAGUAAUCGUGGAUCAGAAUGCCACGGUGAAUACGUUCCCGGGCCUUGUACACACCGCCCGUCACACCAUGGGAGUGGGUUGCAAAAGAAGUAGGUAGCUUAACCUUCGGGAGGGCGCUUACCACUUUGUGAUUCAUGACUGGGGUGAAGUCGUAACAAGGUAACCGUAGGGGAACCUGCGGUUGGAUCACCU
rnacentral:rRNA from 1 species